UAUAGCCCAUUUCUGUAAAUUUAUUUUGUCCAGGGCGGUGGCUGACACUACUUUGAUUACUUUGCGUUCUUACUCGUCUCCCAUGGCUAAUAGGUAAAUAUCGAUGAGAACAAGAACAUAUAGAUAAGAUGUUCUGCAUGUUGCCACCCUCAAAGUCUCUACCAAUAAACGACAUCGUUGGAGGCAUUCUUUCUGUUUGCAACAUUGACUCAUGAAUGAGGAAUCUCAAUAGGUAGCUCUUUGGUCAUGUUGUUAUUUUUGAGUUUCUUUCUUGGUGAUCCUAAUUGUUGUUUUAUGUAUUUGAUGUUGUUGUCUAGGUUAUAACUUUUAGCUAAUGGCUGCAGUUGAGUUACUUUAAUAGGAUGGUUUUCCUGAUUUAAUAGGUGUGACCUUAGUCAAUUGCUAAACUACUUAUGAGCUAACUAAAAUUGUAGUCUAUAAUUCAGGUUCUUCGUAUUUUGUUCUUGAACACAAAAAGGAGAAAGAACAUUAUUUCGUGGAUUCUUUCCAUCACUGCUGAAUCCUCGA
rnacentral:lncRNA from 1 species